rnacentral:tRNA from 1 species
GGGGGUGUAGCUCAGCUGGGAGAGCACCUGCCCUGCAAGCAGGGGGUCAGGGGUUCGAUCCCCCUCAUCUCCACCA